rnacentral:rRNA from 2 species
GAUGAACGCCGGCGGUGUGCCUAAUACAUGCAAGUCGAACGCGUUGGCCCAAUUGAUUGACGGUGCUUGCACCUGAUUGAUUUUGGUCGCCAACGAGUGGCGGACGGGUGAGUAACACGUAGGUAACCUGCCCAGAAGCGGGGGACAACAUUUGGAAACAGAUGCUAAUACCGCAUAACAGCGUUGUUCGCAUGAACAACGCUUAAAAGAUGGCUUCUCGCUAUCACUUCUGGAUGGACCUGCGGUGCAUUAGCUUGUUGGUGGGGUAACGGCCUACCAAGGCGAUGAUGCAUAGCCGAGUUGAGAGACUGAUCGGCCACAAUGGGACUGAGACACGGCCCAUACUCCUACGGGAGGCAGCAGUAGGGAAUCUUCCACAAUGGGCGCAAGCCUGAUGGAGCAACACCGCGUGAGUGAAGAAGGGUUUCGGCUCGUAAAGCUCUGUUGUUAAAGAAGAACACGUAUGAGAGUAACUGUUCAUACGUUGACGGUAUUUAACCAGAAAGUCACGGCUAACUACGUGCCAGCAGCCGCGGUAAUACGUAGGUGGCAAGCGUUAUCCGGAUUUAUUGGGCGUAAAGAGAGUGCAGGCGGUUUUCUAAGUCUGAUGUGAAAGCCUUCGGCUUAACCGGAGAAGUGCAUCGGAAACUGGAUAACUUGAGUGCAGAAGAGGGUAGUGGAACUCCAUGUGUAGCGGUGGAAUGCGUAGAUAUAUGGAAGAACACCAGUGGCGAAGGCGGCUACCUGGUCUGCAACUGACGCUGAGACUCGAAAGCAUGGGUAGCGAACAGGAUUAGAUACCCUGGUAGUCCAUGCCGUAAACGAUGAGUGCUAGGUGUUGGAGGGUUUCCGCCCUUCAGUGCCGGAGCUAACGCAUUAAGCACUCCGCCUGGGGAGUACGACCGCAAGGUUGAAACUCAAAGGAAUUGACGGGGGCCCGCACAAGCGGUGGAGCAUGUGGUUUAAUUCGAAGCUACGCGAAGAACCUUACCAGGUCUUGACAUCUUGCGCCAACCCUAGAGAUAGGGCGUUUCCUUCGGGAACGCAAUGACAGGUGGUGCAUGGUCGUCGUCAGCUCGUGUCGUGAGAUGUUGGGUUAAGUCCCGCAACGAGCGCAACCCUUGUUACUAGUUGCCAGCAUUAAGUUGGGCACUCUAGUGAGACUGCCGGUGACAAACCGGAGGAAGGUGGGGACGACGUCAGAUCAUCAUGCCCCUUAUGACCUGGGCUACACACGUGCUACAAUGGACGGUACAACGAGUCGCGAACUCGCGAGGGCAAGCAAAUCUCUUAAAACCGUUCUCAGUUCGGACUGCAGGCUGCAACUCGCCUGCACGAAGUCGGAAUCGCUAGUAAUCGCGGAUCAGCAUGCCGCGGUGAAUACGUUCCCGGGCCUUGUACACACCGCCCGUCACACCAUGAGAGUUUGUAACACCCAAAGUCGGUGGGGUAACCUUUUAGGAGCCAGCCGCCUAAGGUGGGACAGAUGAUUAGGGUG